UUUUUUUUAUUAAAUAAAAAAAAAUCAUUACUUCGUAUUUAAAAGUAGGCUGACAUUUUUGUUAUAUACAAAGUAUUUUAAAGAGACAAAACCCAAAACCCUAAUUUCAUUUCCUCUAAACCCAUACCCCCACCGCCUCUCUCUCCUCUCUACUCUCUCUCUCUCUCUCUCUCUCUCUAUCUUAACAGCUGAAAUCACUCAUCCUAACAUCCGAAAUCACUCAUCCUAUCUCACAUUCUCCUGCUAAACACUUUAUACCUCUUAAUCCCUCCAAAGCUGUUAUCAAACACCACGGUAAAGAUAUUCUCAAGAAAUAUCAGAGAAAGAAUCGUUAUCUUUUCUCCUUUUCUAGGCUUUUAGCUCCAAUUUUUGGUGGUAAAAUUGGUGAGCUCACUGGUUUGGGCUCUAAAAAUCCUGUCCUUUACCUUGAUUUUCCUCGGGUAUUCUUGUUCUUCAGUUGAAUUGGUUUUUUGAUUAUUUUUUGGUUCAUAAUUUGGUGUUCUAUGGGCUGAAUUAGGGAUUUUGUGGUCAUUUGUUGAUUGUUUGCAGUUCUUAAUUGUUGGUUUUCUUUGUUGUUGUUAAUAUGGUGUUCUAUGGGGUAAAACUGGGAUUUCUAGUCAUUUGAUGAUUGUUGGCAGUUCUUAUUUUGUGGAGUUUUUGUUUUUGAUUUUUUUUUCUUUGUUUAGUGAUCAAUUAUGGAGUGAACUCAAUAAGUAAGUGAGGUGGAUGCGAAUUCUAUUGGUUUGUGCUGACGACAUCAAUCUCUAAGCCCCUUCUAUUUCACAUUUCCUCUAGUUCCUAAGUUCAAAUUUACUCUUUCUUUGUAAAUUAACCCAAUUUCAAGCUUAUUAAUUGUUUUAGUUUGCCGUUUGCCAAUUUUUUCAGGGUUUCGGGACAAGAAAGUUAAGUUUAUGGUGUCUCAACAAAGAAGUGGGUCUAACCCAUCUUCCAAGCUUGGGGUCAUCACGCGGCCGACAGACUUUGCCUCUUUCCUUUUUGGUGAUGAUGACUUCGGGGAAGACGGAUGUGCUAGCCGCCUAUCCCUCUUCAACAGAAUGGAUCAUCUUUCUCAGACGGUCCUUGGUGCCCCGGAUAGUUAAGCCACCUCUGGCGAAUUUGCCUGCUAUUGUAUAGACCGGUUCUUCAUCGGUUUCGGAACUUGGAAGUCACUUUGGACUUCACAUAGGAGUUCAACGCUCCUUCGUUGGCCUGACGGUCUGUUUGAGGUUGUAAUAGUCGUUUGUGUCAUGGCCGACAUCCUCAUGGUAAUGACAGUGUUUGUUUUUGUUCUGAUUUUUAGCGGAUGCUUUUAUAGGAGUCGGCUUCUCUUGAGUCAGCCGAUCCUUUAUCUCCAUGAGGAUGAAAUAGCUUUCCUUGUGGAACUCGUUUCUUGGAAUGUACGAAUUUCCAAUCUUUCUUUUUCUUCUAGGUCGGCUAAUCGAAGUUAUCAACCGCCCA